rnacentral:rRNA from 1 species
GACGCUCGUAAGAUCUUCCGUAGGUGAACCUGCGGAAGGAUCAUUACCGAGUGUAGGGUUCCUAGCGAGCCCAACCUCCCACCCGUGUUUACUGUACCUUAGUUGCUUCGGCGGGCCCGCCAUUCAUGGCCGCCGGGGGCUCUCAGCCCCGGGCCCGCGCCCGCCGGAGACACCACGAACUCUGUCUGAUCUAGUGAAGUCUGAGUUGAUUGUAUCGCAAUCAGUUAAAACUUUCAACAAUGGAUCUCUUGGUUCCGGCAUCGAUGAAGAACGCAGCGAAAUGCGAUAACUAGUGUGAAUUGCAGAAUUCCGUGAAUCAUCGAGUCUUUGAACGCACAUUGCGCCCCCUGGUAUUCCGGGGGGCAUGCCUGUCCGAGCGUCAUUGCUGCCCAUCAAGCACGGCUUGUGUGUUGGGUCGUCGUCCCCUCUCCGGGGGGGACGGGCCCCAAAGGCAGCGGCGGCACCGCGUCCGAUCCUCGAGCGUAUGGGGCUUUGUCACCCGCUCUGUAGGCCCGGCCGGCGCUUGCCGAACGCAAAUCAAUCUUUUUCCAGGUUGACCUCGGAUCAGGUAGGGAUACCCGCUGAACUUAAGCAUAUCAAUAAGCGGAGGAAAUCUUCCUGUG